rnacentral:lncRNA from 1 species
CUGCUCCAGGGACACGGGGUGCCGGAUGUAGACGUUGCUCUGGAUGUCCCGCGCCGGCAGCCUCUCCAACUCGGUGUGGAAUUCGGCCACGCGGUUCUGGGACAGCAGGAAGAGCAGAUUGAGGCCCAGCAGUUGGUGGCGGAACGCCGACUCCGGCAGCUCCUCCUUGUAGUCGAAGUAGUAGCACUUCAGCUGGGCCAUAUAGCGCUCGAAGGACGGGAUGUCCUUCUUUAGGAUGCUCCACUGCGCCCCGAUCUCCAGGAUGUCCCGGGCCAACACGAGCUGCUGUUUGGUGAGCGCAGUGCCGCCGGUGGGCAGGAAGUUCAGCUCCAGCAGCGCCAGCUUGAGGCGGCCCAACGCCUCCCCGCACUUGCUGAGGUUGGGGCUCUUCCGGCCCCAUUCUCCCUUCAGCUGUUCGUACAUUCCCGCUGCGGCCCGCAGCCCCCCGGCGCCCUCCGCCCCGUUCAGCACCGCCGCCGCCAUCGCCGUGAGUCUGCGCCGCGCCGCUUCGCG